GCUGUAGCUCGGUGGUAGAGCAUCUGCUUGACUUGCAAAGGGUCCCAGGUUCAAUCCUCAGCAGGAGCG
rnacentral:tRNA from 1 species